rnacentral:lncRNA from 1 species
AUUGUCUUUUCCAGAGAUGAUGAAGUCACAGAUGUGAAAGCAUGUAAAAUUAUAAAGCUCUGGCAAGAGAGACUGAGAAUAGAGGAGAAACAAUCCCCCAUGAGGAGACCCAUGUGAUGAGGAACACAGACCUGGCAACAGCCAGAAGAGUGAGCUUGGAAGUGGAUCCUUAAGCUCCAGACAAACCUUGAGAUGAUCCCAUUUCUGACCAACAUCUUGACAGCAAGCUAAUGGAGACCCUGAGCCAGAAUCACCCAGUUUAGCUGUAUCCUGACCCUUGACUCUGGGGAAUUGUGAGAUAAAAGUUUUCUCUCUUUAGCGUCUAAAUUUUGGGUAAUUUAUU